UACGAAGGGGGCUAGCGUUGUUCGGAUUUACUGGGCGUAAAGCGCACGUAGGCGGAUAUUUAAGUCAGGGGUGAAAUCCCGGGGCUCAACCCCGGAACUGCCUUUGAUGCUGGGUAUCUCGAGUCCGAGAGAGGUGAGUGGAAUUCCGAGUGUAGAGGUGAAAUUCGUAGAUAUUCGGAGGAACACCAGUGGCGAAGGCGGCUCACUGGCUCGGUACUGACGCUGAGGUGCGAAAGCGUGGGGAGCAAACAGG
rnacentral:rRNA from 1 species